rnacentral:rRNA from 1 species
UACGAAGGGUGCAAGCGUUAAUCGGAAUUACUGGGCGUAAAGGGCUCGUAGGCGGCCAACUAAGUCGGACGUGAAAUCCCCAGGCUCAACCUGGGAACUGCGUCCGAUACUGGAUGGCUUGAAUUCGGGAGAGGGAUGCAGAAUUCCAGGUGUAGCGGUGAAAUGCGUAGAUAUCUGGAGGAAUACCGGUGGCGAAGGCGGCAUCCUGGACCGACAUUGACGCUGAGGAGCGAAAGCUAGGGGAGCAAACGGG